rnacentral:piRNA from 1 species
CAGGAAAAAAAGAACCAUUUGGCU